rnacentral:rRNA from 1 species
ACUACGGGAGGCAGCAGUGGGGAAUAUUGCACAAUGGGGGAAACCCUGAUGCAGCGACGCCGCGUGAGUGAAGAAGUAUUUCGGUAUGUAAAGCUCUAUCAGCAGGAACGAGACAAGACGGUACCUGACUAAGAAGCCCCGGCUAACUACGUGCCAGCAGCCGCGGUAAUACGUAGGGGGCAAGCGUUAUCCGGAAUCACUGGGUGUAAAGGGAGCGUAGACGGCUGUGCAAGCCUGAAGUGAAAGGCGGGGGCCCAACCCCUGGACUGCUCUGGAAACUGUACGGCUGGAGUGCAGGAGAGGUAAGUGGAAUUCCUAGUGUAGCGGUGAAAUGCGUAGAUAUUAGGAGGAACACCAGUGGCGAAGGCGGCUUACUGGACUGUAACUGACGUUGAGGCUCGAAAGCGUGGGGAGCAAACAGGAUUAGAUACCCUUGUAGUC